UUCCAGAGUGUUGAGUUCAGUCCAGGGCUGCCUCCCCUGUUCUGGUAAUUAAACUUUGGGACAGUAAGUAACUGGGAGGACCACAGAGAAGGAAAGUUUUGCUUUCCUCCUUGUUUUCUCUCCCAGCCCACAA
rnacentral:snoRNA from 1 species